AGACGGGGUUUCGCCAUAUUGGCCAGGCUGGUCUCGAACUCCUGAACUUGUGAUCCGCCUGCCUCGGCCUCUGGGAUUACAGACGGGAGCCAUCGCACCUGUGUGUGAAGGUUUUCUAACCGUCUAUCAGAUUUUCUAACCUCCGCAAGCCGCAGGAAGAGAGAGGGAAUCAUGGUCCUUCCGUGUGGCAAGGUCACCAAGCAGCGGCACCCCCCAUCCCAGACAACAGCAGGUCACCUUCCCUGGCUGCCGCGUGGCAGGGCGGGCUCAGGGACGGACUCUGCGCUUCCCUCUGAUUUUCGUCACUUUUGUGGGUUGAAGUUAGACCCCUACUCUGUUGUUUGAACACAGAUCUGGGCCACUUUAUUGAUAUUAGUUACCUGCUGUGCCUCUCGGCACCUCCCGACUUCCUUGCUGUGCUCUGAAAAUGCAGGUUUUGUGCACCCGAAUUAUAAUCUUGCUGUGAUAAUGCGCCUGGAUUGAUUCAACAAAAUGAGUUGUCUAUUUUGUUUUCACUUCGACAUCUCUAAGAAGGAAAGACUGACAAUCGGGAACAUAAAUAUUUUGGACUUCACAUCUUGUGGCAUGAAGAUGAUUAAAAAAAGUGUAAUAAUUACAAGGUAAAAUUUUACCGGGAAAUGCAGUUCUGUUUGAACUGGAGGAUGAACUCACAAAAAGCACUUAUUCUAGAGCAGUGUUAAAAUGCUUCAAUCGCCCAAGCAUCUAAAAGGCACAAAAUUGAUAGCAUUCCAUUAAAUAUAAAUAUGUAGAAACUGC